GGGUAACCUGCCCAAGAGAUCGGGAUAACACCUGGAAACAGAUGCUAAUACCGGAUAACAACAGAUGAUGCCUAUCAACUGUUUAAAAGAUGGUUCUGCUAUCACUCUUGGAUGGACCUGCGGUGCAUUAGCUAGUUGGUAGGGUAACGGCCUACCAAGGCGAUGAUGCAUAGCCGAGUUGAGAGACUGAUCGGCCACAUUGGGACUGAGACACGGCCCAAACUCCUACGGAGGCAGCAGGG
rnacentral:rRNA from 1 species